CCUACGGGGUGCACCAGUGGGGAAUAUUGCACAAUGGGCGCAAGCCUGAUGCAGCCAUGCCGCGUGUGUGAAGAAGGCCUUCGGGUUGUAAAGCACUUUCAGCGAGGAGGAAGGUGGUGAACUUAAUACGUUCAUCAAUUGACGUUACUCGCAGAAGAAGCACCGGCUAACUCCGUGCCAGCAGCCGCGGUAAUACGGAGGGUGCAAGCGUUAAUCGGAAUUACUGGGCGUAAAGCGCACGCAGGCGGUUUGUUAAGUCAGAUGUGAAAUCCCCGGGCUCAACCUGGGAACUGCAUUUGAAACUGGCAAGCUAGAGUCUCGUAGAGGGGGGUAGAAUUCCAGGUGUAGCGGUGAAAUGCGUAGAGAUCUGGAGGAAUACCGGUGGCGAAGGCGGCCCCCUGGACGAAGACUGACGCUCAGGUGCGAAAGCGUGGGGAGCAAACAGGAUUAGAUACCCGCGUAGUC
rnacentral:rRNA from 1 species